GCAGUGCCUCACCUGAUGAGACGAGGUACGUUGUUUCUGCAGCUGCCUGCCUUAGGUCAGACCUCAGCUUUGCCAUUUCUGACUGCUCGGGGUCCUGCUCUGUUGCCCAGGCUGGAGUGCAAUAGCACAAUCUCGGCUCACUGCAGUCUCCACUUCCCAUGCUCAAGUGAUUCUCCUGCCUCAGCCCCCCAAGUAGUUCGGACUACAGGCAUGCGCCACCAUGCCUGGCUAACUUUUGUAUGUUUUGUAGACAUGGGGUAUCGCCCUAUUGCCCAGGCUGGUGUCAAACUCCUGAGCUCAAGUGAUCCGUCCACC